AGAUUAAACUGAAGAGUUUGAUCAUGGCUCAGAUUGAACGCUGGCGGCAGGCUUAACACAUGCAAGUCGAGCGGUAACAGAUCUAGCUUGCUAGAUGCUGACGAGCGGCGGACGGGUGAGUAACGCGUAGGAACCUGCCCAGUAGUGGGGGAUAGCCCGGUGAAAACCGGAUUAAUACCGCAUACGCUCUACGGAGGAAAGGGGGCUUCGGCUCUCGCUAU
rnacentral:rRNA from 1 species